GGCUCGGUGGCGGAUGGUCCGUGUCUGUGACAGUUAGUCAAUUAAAACUCCACUUAUGCAGAAAUCAGCUCGUUCGAUUCGAGCCCGAGCCA